GGAGCUUUAAAAGCAGGGUGUGUUUAUGUGGUGUGGUAAAAAUACAGUAACAUUAGGGAAGUUUGAUAUACAAACCAUACAAGUUAUAUAGCAUUACUAUUUUCAUAAGAGCUCAUAGCAGGAUUUUGCUGGUAACAGUAACUUGUGCAAACUUUUAAAGUCACCUUAAAGACACUCACCUUUGUGCUGCCUGAUCACCAAAAACGUUUAAAAAAGACGG